GUGAAUCCUAUGCGGCUCCAUUACUCCCUGGUAGGCCGCAUUAACGGCCACAGCAAUGCUCCACUUCCUGCGAUGGAUAUCGCACGAUUCUUUCAUCCCCUGACAAGUCGCGAUAACGGACGCCACUCCACUCCCUGCGGCAGACUUCACGUGGCGCGCUUCAGUGAUAGCCACGGGUCUACUACACUACUCUUCGCAACAAACUCCGCCUGACCCUGGGCACCCCACUACC
rnacentral:lncRNA from 1 species